ensembl:lncRNA
GGCUCAGUGCAGCAAACACUGAGAACACACACUGUCACUCAGAACACACUGAGAGUACAAACACCAACACACAAAAUACUCACUGUUCAUCUUUACACUUUGAACCACUUCAGUGACGUCAUACAAAGUAAGAUUUUCUUCAACAAAAAGAGUGACAUUCUUUCACAUGAUUUAUUACAUUUUUUAGAACAUAACAAUUCUUUAAGGUAAAUGAAUAAUAGCAGUUGGAUUCAAUAGUCUGUAGUAAUUUAUGGAAUUACAGUAAUGAGAAAAAAAGGUAGAAAGUAAAAGUACAGACUGUAAUGUGAACAAAUAAGUGAGGGCUGAUCCUGCCUCUCUAGCAUCAGGACACAGGUUCUCAUCACCAUCACAUCUAAUGUUCUCUCUCCAUCAACCUGGGGAAGAACCUUCUGGAAGCCUCAUCCAUCCCUAGCAGUCCUCUGGACUCGUGUCCUCACAUCCGGCUUCCAUAAGAGACAUCUGGUCAUUUGGGUGGAGACCAAACACUUUGCACCUCCAGGCAGAGAGAAACUCCUCUCACCGGUUUGUAUGAUGGAGAAGUUGCAUCACAGACGCCACUGUGGAUGUUUGCAGAUCGGGUUCCACCCUCAACUCUCUCAGUGAGAGACGUGGUUCACCACAUGGUCCAUAAGUGAAGCCCUUAUUCCAUCUGAAGUAACAGCUCUUUGUCUUCUUUGUCUCCCUCCACCAACCCGUCUUCCUUCUUCCACUUACAAAAUGAGUCUUUCUCAGCUCUACAUAUAUAUAUAUAUAUAUAUAUAUAUAUAUAUAUAUCUAAAACAAGACACCUGCUCAGCCUUUCAGCUGAAUAGAAUCAUCAGUGUUUUAAAGGCACAUUCCGUGUUGAAUGCAUGGUUCACAGUUCUGACAGCAGUGUGUUGCAUUUGAACAAAGUGCUGUAAAUCCACAGUGUUGUGCAGGUUGUGGAUACGUCAUGUGAUCAGUGUGUAGAGUUUUGAAAACUGUUCAAGCAAUGAAAAACAAACUAGAGUUUGGUCCUCAUGAACUGCUGCUGUGCAGACUGGAGUCAGAGUUUUGCACAUGUGACUCCAGUUGCGCCCGCUGACGUUUAGCAAUCGACAAAAACUGUAAUGUGGCCGAGAUUAAUGCAACAAAAUAUUUUAACGCAGUUACAGUUUUUUUCAAUCGCUAACAAGCACUUACCCAUACUUUUUUAUUUACAAAUUUUUUCUAAACUCUUAACACAGACUCACACCUACAAGACACAAUUGGCCAAAUUGAUCAUUUUCUUCUCAAAAACACAUUUUGUUAAAUAUAUACUAACUCUUAAUUUCAAAACAGAACACAUCUUUCUCUGCACACACUAACUUUACCAAAACACUGGAAAUCUGACUCAAAAUUAUUCUGUCAAAGAAUAACAUUUGUUUUCACUUCACAAGGUACAUGCAGUCAAACGAAGUACACCAGGUUUCAAAAUUCAUGUCGGAUCCACCCUUGGCAAUCUUGAACUGUGAUGUCCCUGCAGCCAGCAUCCAUGGCUUCAAGGAGGGACAUCUGGUCAUGUGGCGGAUGGUCAUAAACCUUCCACCUCCAUGCGGAAAAGAACUCCUCUUCCUGCACCUCUCACUGCACCUUCUUCUAGAUCUCUCACUGGACCUGCACCUCUUACUCUUCCUCUCACUGCUCCUCUUCCUGCACCUGCAGCUCCUUCUGCACCUGCAUCUCCUUCACCUGCACCUCUCACUGGACCUGGUCUUCUCCCUGGGCCCCUUGCUCUUCCUCUUCCUCGUCCAGACAUUACAGUGUUUGUCUUUUUCUGUUUCCAAAAACAUCACUCCUCAAAGUCCUCCUUAAAUAAGCCAGACUGGAAUCAGCUGUUGGCCCAAUUUACCCAACAUAAAUCAGCUGUCAAUUAUUCAAUAGUUUGUUCAUUAUCAGCUGAGAUAUAUUGUUUUUGAACUGAUAUCAUUGCAGAAGGUUUUUAUACUGUAUCUACGGUUUGGAAUAUUGUUUUUGCUAUUGUGGGAUGGUGUGUGUUAACAUUUGUGAAUACUACUAAAACAAUCCAUCGUUUUGUUGGGAGGUUUGGCUUGUCUGUUAAGAAAAAUGCAAGCAUUGUGGACAUGUGUUCACUGACUGCAUAUUGUGUGAAAACGACAUGAAAUGUGUGAAGGGUUUGGCCACAAAACACCGAUGCUGUGCUGAUUGUGUUUAGAGUUUUGAAAAUGUGACAACUGUUUGGACAAACGCUUGUUAGCGAUUGAAAAAAACUAACGUACGUUUGUGGCCGCUAGCUGUAGUCAGAUACAACAACAGUGUCUAAAAUACACACGUACUCAUUAUUUUUAAGAUUAAGUCUUUAGAAGAAAAACAAACAUUCAUUAAAAACAACAAUAUUCAUUAAACGCUAUUUGUCAAGAUUAAUGAAUUUCAAAAUGUGUGAUUAGGUUUUUUAAAAUCUAAUGACAACCCCAGUAUUAUAUGAUGAAUAAAGUACUUCACUACAUUUUUAGAAGACUGAAACACAGGGAAGAUCCUGCGAAAGUGCUACUCAGGGCGCCUAAUGCAAAUCAGGAGUUUAAAGAGAUCCUCAGCAGCACUUAUGGGCAUUUGGAAUGAAGAGGCACCCUGCUGUGAUCAGCUACCAUUAGAACAAUUAGACAAAUCAAUGCUGUAAUUAGAUAAUUACUGCAAAUACACACUUAUGAGAUGGAUCUCCUUCACUGUGGCCCACUGUUUCUGCUUCACCAAAGGCCUACGUGGGUUUCAUACGCUCAGUCUUCAGUCAGGCGAAGCGGGCCGGUCUAAAAGAAAAGACCCAAUACAACCCAAUUAACCCCCUUGUGAUGCUCACUGGGAGUGAGCUUUUUGUAAUGUCAAAUUGGGCGGGAGAGAAAUCUGCUGAGCUGGGAACUUUGUAUUAUUCAUGCGGUAUACAGAGACGCUGCACCUUCUCCCAGAGAAGGCAGACUUUCUGUGUGUGUUCUGCAAAAAUGGAAUUUAAGGUGAAUGCUAGACUAUCUGAAGCCCUUGGUGUGUGACGACUUGCAUGAACGUUAUAUUUAGAUUUGACAUGCCCUUCUACAGGUCUCUCAUGUGGUAUUCCACACCUGUGUUUCAUUGGCUGAUCAGACCGCACGGCUUCAUCCCCAGCUGCACCUGCCUGUUUCCAGAGGGUCACCAUUGCCUUGGAGGUACUUUCCCCCAUUGGUUACUGUUGUUCAUGCUUUCUACGUCUGUUCUUUGUAUCUAUCAUUUUCUUUGGACUUUCUCUUAUUUGGCUUUAUAGUCUUGUCUUGUCUUUUUUAGGACUGAACUCCAGCCAAAGUAUUUACUAACCAGCUUUCUGUUGUCGGGUCUCUCUGCUCUGCAGUUGGACGCUGUGCCUCACACUUGGCAUUGAAGUAAGCUUCGGCUCACCAAACCACCCUAAAACAACUGGUUGAAGAAUAAAUAGAUUUUUGACAUAAAUUGCUGUUAUACAGAAUUUUUCAGGUCUCUCAGGGGAAACUUGACUGGGAUUAAUACCGUAAUCCAGAGUUAGUGGAGAAUUAUGGUAACGAGGACUGUCACAUCAACAAAAAGUGUACAAAACAGAGCCAAUAUGUGCUGAAAACCCAGGAGUAGAUUUAAUGUUAUGGUGAUGAUACCUUCCUAAAAGAGAACAUCUGAGUGACGCACUGUGUCCAUAUAUAAUCAGAACCAGGAGAGGAUCCCAGCCUGGUGCAGCCCUGCUCCAUUACACAUCUUAAAUUUACAAACCUUAUUCCUGCUCUGAAAGCGCUCUGACCCUCCGCCAGCUACAAGAAGAGUCAUCACAUCUGUGGCAAUGAUGCAGCACACUCAGUAAUAUGAUAUUAAUUAUUAAUAUGCUAUCCACUCUUAUAAAUGACCGAAAUGUUCUGAAUUUCAGCUCAAGGAUAUUUAGGAACAUUCACCACAGAUUUCUGAAACCUGGUACCUUUUGUAAUUUGAGCAUUAAGGCAAAUUUCAGUUGGAAGCUACGUACAUUUUCCUCUUACAUCGGCAAAUGAAUCUAACAUUUGCAUUUUUAGAUAGUAAAUGCUUGUAUUCUGUGGGUGGUUGAGAAAAGUAAGGCUGUGGGUUCCUCUUAGAAGGAGUCAGUGAGUGUUACACAAUCUUGUAAACUAUAAUAUGUCACUUGCAGCGUUGUUUGUAAGAACUAUUGGGGAGACUAAGAUGAAAAGGGCCGAGAUAACUCUAACCUGUAUUUAAGGAGGAGGUAUAUUGACUGUGCUCUGGCUGACGCUGGCAUCCACUCACUAUGUGAAGAGAAAUGGUCCGUUCGCAGUUCUUUCUAGUUGCUGCCCAGCUAUUACAGAGGAGGACAGACAAUGUCUUUCUUUAACCCAGGUUGCCACGAAAGGUCCCACAUCAAAUUUUUAGCAAGCAAUUAACAACCCAGCAUAGUUCACAUCAUGUCGUGUUUGGCAGCAAGUUAUAAACACUGUUCAUCACAGACAAACCGUUUACGUUUCUUCCAUCUCUGACCAUCAGGUAUUGACAUGCAACACUAAAGAGGAGGUUAUCUGGUCAAAAGAGGGUCCAAAUAAACUGAUCAAUGCAGAACUCGGGGACCUGUGAAGGAGAAGCAGUUUGUAAGCUGCAUGAUUAUUAUUCAGAUAUGCUCUUUGAACAAUUUCUCUAGUGUUAAGUGCAAUUAAACCAAUCCAACAGAAAAUGUCAGACUUGUCAGAGAAUCUGGCAUAUUAGUCUCCUUUCGGAUAAAGCCACAUAUCCACAUAAAGGACCGGCUCUGUUUGUGGAUCCAUAUGGUUUUGCGUCAGGGCUUUCAUGGAGAAGAGAGGUACCAUUUACCAAGAUGGAUGUGUGACAGUUUCUCACCACCCUCAGCAGGCUUAAAGUUCCUCCCAUGCAUUGACCAUAAAACCUGGCAUGCUUUGAGGCGGGCUUCGUGUGAUUGACAGGUCACUGCUCCUACCAGUGUGCAAACGUUGUCUCCAGCUCAUUCCUCCCAUUCCAAAUACGGUAACAUCUCCCCGAGGGUUAGUCCUCCAGACUCCCCUCCAGCGCCGGUUGUCCCCCCGGGGCCGCAUCGGUUCAGCCUGCAGGCAUCCAUAAAGCCGGCCCAUCGUCAGCCUCUCCAGCCCCUCCUCCCCGGCGGUGUGGUGAAGCGGUUGUAACGUGUGUUUCAUCCACUGUGGUGCCUUCAUUCCCUGGUCGGGUGUGGACCUGCAGGCCGGUGCAGACAAACUGUCAUGAUCAGUGUGUCGCUUGGCUGGAGUCGAGUUACUGGCUUCCAACGUUUCGUCACUCGAUCGGGCAGAGACGGAUAAAUGAAUUGAUAUGUUUGUUGGUGUGACCGUUGUUUGCACAUAUUUCCACAGCUACAACAGUGUAUGGGAGGGUUGGUGUCUACAGUUUAAAAAGUAAAUGGAUGUUAGCAGUUUAAAAAAAGAAUCGAUCUAUCGACUAAAAGGCCUUAAUGCUCGUGCUCUACCUGCUGACAUCUUUACCACUGCAAGAAUUAUUGACUGAUCUAAUGCAUAAGUAGGGUUCAAGUUUCAUUAAACAUGUCGGGGUAAGUGGUGUGUUCAUAGUGGGAGUCUAGAAGACAAUACUUGGCUGUCAUUAAAUGAAUUAAAUCCAACAGCAACACCUAUUUGUCAAUGUCUAUUUUUAAAGCCUGAGAGGUCUUGUAGGAUAUUAGAAAUAAACUGACAACCCGGUUCAUAACUUAACUAUUAAUAAAAAAGCAUUUAGUAUGCACCAGAAUACAGCCAUGAUUCUGGAACAAAUUUAAUCAAUAAAGUAAUGAGAAUAUUGUAAAACCACUGUAGACAGAAGAAUACCAACGUACAGCUAUGAUCCUGAAUGUGUCUUUUCAUCAAAUGAAGAUUUGUCUCUUCUCACAUGUUUCCAGAGAACAUAUUGUUGUGUGCCGUUGGUCAGUAAAAUGAGCCACCGUGUUAAAUACGGCCAAGUCCAAACCGAACCAGUGUGUGAAAGCAGUCUAUGUGCAUAUUAACCGUCAUGCUCUGCGUGACCUCCCUGUGGCUGACGUCGUGUGUGGUGUCACCAGCAGGGCUGAUGUGGUUCUCUGUGGGGAACCUGCGGCUCUUUUAACUGGACUGGACAUGACUAAAUAUAAAGAGUGACCUGCAGAGGACAACCAACCUCAGGGGGUUAUGAUGAUGACAGCGCCGAUGAUGAGGGACCCUCUGAAGGCUGAGCAGGUUAAGCUACUUGAUGGAUAUCGUUUUAAAUACUACUAGGAAAACUAUGGGCAACAUAAGGGGCGACUGUGGGUGAGUGGGGAGCACGGUCGUCCUCCAAUCAGAGGGUUGUCGGUUCGAUCCCAGGCCCGGCUAACCUGCAUGUCGUUGUGUCCUUGGGCAAGACACUUAACCCAACAUGGCUCCUGUAGCUGUGACUACAGUGUGUGAAUGGUAGCUACUGAUGGCAGGUGUCACUGUGUAUGGUUCUCCUGUCAUCAGUGUAUGAAUGGGUGUGAAUGGGUGAAUGAUGUCAUGUAGUGUUAAAGCGCUUUGAGUGGUCAGAAGACUAGAAAAGCGCUUUACAAGUACAGGCCAUUUACCAUAAGCAAGUAUCAAAACAUUGUUUUCUGGUGAAAACUCAAUACAGCAAGUAAUUGAACCACUGUAACUGCCAAAUCCCAAACCACCAUGUGUUCUGAAGAUGCCCACAGCAACAGAUGAGCAUUCACAAAAAGUUUGACGCGCGCCGAGCUUUCAACUGACUCCCGUGUAAAACCCAACCACGUUAUUAUUGGAUCCAACAAAACAAGGUUUAUUGUGAAAAGCGUCCAAAUGGGACUCAUGGAGGACAUGUGGGCGGCGCGGUGACCACGGCCGUGUUACGAUUGUUCUGUGUCUAUUCCACUUUGUUGUACGCUGUCUUGCGUGUUGUUUCUUAUGUACGUAAUGUGAAAUUCUGCCAAGGACAUUUUCACAACAUGUUUCCACAAAGCAUCUGAUAAUAGUUGAAGAUUUGCAUUCUUGCGUGCGGUAUGUUUGGAAAGUUACAGUCGAGUGGGUUGCGUUGUGUUAUCUGUAAAUAAUCGGAGUGGCAAACAGAGAAUCCAACAAAAAGAAUAUAUUUAUUUCUGUUUUAUACAAACUGAGAUCAAUGGUUGGCGAUUAUGUGUGAACUGCAUAUAGAACAUCUUAGGAAAUGAUGAGGACUUUCUCCCUCUCUCGCUUUCCUUUCCUUACAGCGUCCGUGUUGCCUUGUACUUUGCAGCCAUAUUUGUCAUUCUCUAUCAAAAAUAACAAUACUUUUUACAUUCACUUUCUGACGUUCUCGCCGUGUCUGCGCGGCUCCGGCUUCCCCCCACAGGCCAAACACAUUCUGGGGGUUAGGUUGGACUGGUGACUGUGGAUGUCUGUGUCAGCUCUGUGAUUGGCUGGCGACCAACGCAGGGUGCUGAUAUUGACUCUACUACCGGUAUUUGCUUUGCAGAUGGAUGGAUGGAUCUUGUGGGGUUUUUUCCACCUCUUUGCUUAAGAUUGCAUUAAACUUUGUCUUUUUACAAAAAGUUCCAAAAUGCUAGCAGCAAAGACAAUCUUCGAUAGAUAAUAUUGAAUAAUUAAAAAUUAAGCAAAAUAUACAGUAGAUGAUACCUUCUGAACAAAAAACAGAGGAAAUGAGAAUCUCAUUAAAUAUAUAAAAAACCUGUCACCUUGAAAACCUCUUCCUCGCUUUCAUCCUCCUCACAGUCGUAUCCCACUGGGACACACAUGAAGCAGCUCUGCCAAAUUUGCAAAGGUUCUACUCAUUUUCACAUUUAACAAAAGUAGUAAUUACUUGAAAAACACUAAUAAACUGCAAUGUUUGACUGACCCCUUUGUGCCAUUACACCAUUCUGUCAUUUUGACGCUGAACCUCCUCCACAUCUUCAAGUAACCGCGACGUCCGGAAGUAGAGGCAGACGUCAGUGCUUCUCCUUGUGCAGUGUUUGUGUUGAUCAGCAGGGGGCAGCGGUGAGCCACACGUGGCAUCGGCGCCGCUGCUUUCUCUGCAUUAUCUGCUGGAAUCUGCACCAGUGCAAACUUUGAACAGCUUGAAGAAUCCCUCUUUGUGGUUCUGUUUGCUGUGGGAUCCCAGGCUCAUCAUGGAGCCCGUCCACACGCUAAAUCUCUCACUCAGCAAGGCUCGUUUGGUUAAAGGGCCCAGCGGUGACGCUGCCUUUCAUAGAUUUCCCCCUCGAGCACACGGACGGUACUCAGAACCUCGACAACGGCAACGCAUUGUUUACUUUGAACAACAGCAGCAUAUUGUCACGCAACGUACGAUGAUGUCAUAUGAAAAAUGACUCAUUUUUAGGCUAUUGCUCUAUGAAAGUCAACGUCACAUGAACACGGUCUUCCAACAAAGGGUUAUGUGAAAAAAAAGUACUUCAGACCCCCUGAAAGCCUCAGCAGCUACAUUUUCAGAGGGCUCUAAAAUCAUAAGUAUUUGUCCCGACGCAACCGUCACUAAAUGUAUUUUGAAAGCUUAACAAUGCCUAGAAGUUUUUAUUAUUCAAAUUGCAAAACAGGGGCAGCACGGCGGCGUGGUGGUCAGCGCCGUCGCCUCACAGCAAGAAGGUCCUGGUUCCACUCCGCCCAGUGGCCUUCCUGUGUGCAGUCUGCAUGUUCUCCCCCUGUCUGCGUGGGUUCUCUCCGGGUUCUCCGGCUUCCUCCCACAGUCCAGAGACGUGCUCUGGGGAUCAGGGUGAUUGGGGACUCUAAAUUGCCUGUAGGUGUGUGAAUGUGAGUGGUUGUAUGUCUCUGUGUAGCCCUGUGAUUGGCUGGUGACCAAUCCAGGAUGUACCCUGUCUAUCGCCCGAAGUUGGCUGGGAUGGACUCCAGCCCCCCCGCGACCCUGUGUGCAGGAUAAGCGGUUUGACAAUGGAUGGAUGGAUGGAUGGAUCUAGAUCAGGGGUUUUCAGGACAAGGUCCCCCAAACUGAUGGCAAGGCGGAGCAGGGACCCCCUAUUCCACGGAAUUUGGUCCGCCAUCUUUUAUUUUGGAGCUUUGCGCUCUUUAGACGUGAGCAUGAACGCGAUCUGAUUGGCUGGUCCCUGUGAUGUUGUAUCAGCAUGAAAGGAGCUGUGAGUAAACCGGUGCCCAGCUUGAGAAGCUCAAUGUGUGUGUUAUGGACUGACAGAUAACUUCUCCAUCAAUUUAUCAGUUUGCUACCAUAUGUUGGAUUCAUGUUAAUGUGUAUUUAAAGACAAUAAAUACAAUUGAUUCUGAAGGCAUUUAAAUUUGUGGGAAAAAAAAUCAACCAAAGAUUUCCCGAACCCCCUGAGUACCUCCGCGGACCCCUGUUGAAGACCUCUGAUCUAGAUUAUUAUUAACCCUCAACAAAACCCCAGUUACAAUGUUCAUGACCCUCCCCUGGUUCCACUACAGCGUCCACCAGACUGGUGGCCUCUAAAUCCGGCUACCAUCAGUGGCGUCAACAAUGCUGUCAAUGCCACAUAUUCUUCUAAAGAAUCAUGCAUCGGUCCGCUUCUCACAAUCAGUUUGCCAAGUGAUGAAUGGGGAGGUGAGGAGACGGGUUUGAUAUAGACGCUCCAUGAUGAGCAGCACCUUGGGGGACGUUGGAUGUGACAGAAAACUCCCUAACGGAGCUUUCUGGUACCACAACAACGUGACUAUUUUUCUAUCCAUAGCUGUAUUCUCAGGUUCAACACGGGGAUGCACGCUACCGUUUCUAGGUUCUGGGCAAAUAAAUCAAACUGGGCUUUGGUUAUACACAGCUGUCAUUGGAAAGUGUUUUCAUCCAUCUCCAUUAUAGAUUUCCAUGCAAUGCCACUCUUAACUAUGACUUCAGCGUAUUGAGAUAGGGGUGGACUGUAUUGCGCUGAAGUAGGAUGAAUAUAAUCCACCUCACAGAAGAGCAGUGAUGGCUGGCCCAUUGAGCCUGAACCCACCUAGAGUCAGAAAAAAAAAGAAGACAUUAUAUAUAUAUAUACACCUCGCCCGGAUCCGGCUCGAGCUCGGCACGAGUUUGCCGACUCGUCUGAGACUUGGGAGGAAUGAUGCCCCAGAAUCGGGCCGAAUACACUUGCCCGAAUCCGGCCUAUGACUCUGAUCAGGCCUAUGAUUUUCUAUUAUUAAAAUAAGACAGACCAAAAAGCACAAUGCUAAAAGGGUCGACUCUGCGAUCCCCCGUGAUUCCUCCCACUUAUGGAAAUGGUAGCAAAGAAGAAAAACAUUUUCACAAGAUUCUGCGGUUCCACUCUGCUAUGAAAUCGGGCACGCUGAGCUGAACACACACCCAUUAUGAAGCCUAAUCCACUUUUGGGCUGAUUGAGUCCAGACUUGUUUCAACGCUUCAAACUUUAUACACAACAGCGGACAGAGAGCACCAGAGGACUGACUACUACCCCGCCUCUCCCUCCCUGAAGCACUGUAUUGCAUAUUAUGACACACGUAGGACGAGAAGCGCCUCAAACUUUUUUACGGAGGAAGGAGAAUUGGAAUAAGUAUCCGGCUGGAUUGCAUGCUGUGUUUUGCAACGAGGCGGUUUUGCAGCCUUUUUGCACAGCAGCCACACGGAAUGAGAGAGGUAGAAAAAGAUACAGACAAAAAGAAAGACGAGAGCAUGCAGCAGAAAAAAUGAUGAGGAGGAGGAAGCUAAUAUAAUUUGCCUGUCAGAAUGCAUUAGGGCUAAACUGGACACACACACACACACAUUCGCACACACGAUGGUUUUAAUUCCAGAAUCUCAUUUCAGAUCUGAUUAAUUACUCUCUCACGCUUGACGAAGGAAAUCAGCAGCAAAACUGAAGGGAUUAUCACACACAUAUACUUGUGUGGAUGUGUGUGCAUAUAGGCACAGAUGGUAAAUGAAUUAUUCAUCCAGCUCGGCUGUUUUGGUUUUGUUUUAAAUUGAAAAUGCAACACAACAGCAACACAAUUAUAUCUGCAAAAACAAUAGGACGUAAACAGUGUGUGUGUGUUUCACAGAGAUUAGCGCGGAGAUGGUAAAAGGAAAACAAAAGAAUUACAUUUGUUGACUGACAAAACAAUAGUCAUGUGCCUACGGCCCUUGCAUCAUCUGCAGUUUGAGAUUCAACAGUUUAAUCAUAAUAUUACAGAAUGUGGUCAUUGUAUUCCGAGGGUUACUGAGUUUAAUUGAGGUUUACACAACAUUCAAUAAGCAGAUUUUUUUUUCAGAAUGACUCAAACCAUUGACUGUGUGUAAUAAGUAGUUGCAGUUAUUGAGACAUCAUCCAUAUGGUUUGUGGACUUUUCUCUGGGUUUGGUAUUUUGGCCGUCGCCAUUUUGGAUUGCGUUCCUCCUCGCCCUCUUUGGUUUUUACACAAAGACAAAAGUGACCAUAUUAAGACUUCAGAGGAGAGGCGUAGAGGAGUGCGUGUACGACUGGUUAAGGGCCUGUCGCGUCCCAGUCUGAGGCCAGAGUAGAGCGGAGCUUGGACCAGGCCGUCUGAGGUCCUCCUGUGAAGAGGAAGUUGCAUGUGGGAUAUGUGCCUGGAAAAGCACCAGAGAAUGAAAUGCAUGUUUGCUGAGUGCAUACCAUAAGAUUAUGUACAGAGAAACAGUCAGUGCCAACAGUGACUUUUCCACGACAAGUGACAGGAGACACACACGGCUUAAAUACACUAGGGAGGUGCAGGUGAUUGGACACAGGUGGAAACUAUCAGACAAUCACAGACGAUGACAGGACAAGGCAGGAAGUGAAGUUACCCAGGGAGACAAGAAGCAGAAAACUACAAAAUAAGACAGGAAAUAAAACCACACACACACUUUCACCCAGGAUGCAAUGAUCGGCAACACAUGGGUCAACACAAUGAUCGGGUCCCGUGUGAAACCUCUCACGGCCAGUCUGCAUUGACUUAUUGGUAUUUUGUAGCAUACAUUUGGGAAUUAAAAGGUUCUCUAUUUGAUAUUUAGUACUUAAAAUAGAGACAAACAAUUAUUUGUCUUACAGAUAUAACAGAGAAAUUGUGUAUGAAUAACGAACAAAAAAUUGUUCCUUUUAGAUAUCAAUAAAACCGUUGUAAGAGGAUACUUUUGUCCACCUCUAAUCCGGACCGAUGAGAAUAACUAACUCAUUAUUGAUGGAAGAUGGAUGCUCCAGUGUUGAAUUGACUCCAAGGUGACACUGACAUGUCAAUUUCUGUGCAUAUCAUGGCGGUGCUUCUCCUUGUCAGUUUCUGUGAACACUCAGUUACAGUUUUGCCUUUCACACGUCGGCCUGAGAUCAUCUAUGGGACCAAUCACAAUCCAUUACCAUGGUGGCUUUCAUUAACGCCCCGUGAAAAUGAAUUCCAACUGGUUUCACACUCAUUAUGAACCUGUGACCUCCAACAGAGAAACUUUCUUCUGAGAAAACCAGUAUUCCAUAUCACAUCUGUAUAUAGUGCACAUUAUUGUUCAUUUCAGUAUUCCUUUUUUUUCCAAACAUAGAAUAAAAUUGUCAAAAAAUAAGAAUGCAAAAGAUGUGAUAUUAUGUAUCAUACAGAAAUGAAUAAAUAAGGAAAAGUUGAGGUACCUAAAUUAAAAUAUUUGGGUCAGAAAGCACAGACCUUCAAAAAAUGUAUAUAUAUAUAAUUCAUAUAUAUAGAAAUGUAAGUGCUACUGAAGUGGAGUCUUCGAAUAACAAUCUGCUAAUAGAUACCAUCCUGAAACACACCCUGAAUAUUACUUUCAUUAAGACAAAGUUGUAUCAAAUGUCUACAGUAGUAAAUAGCCAAAUAUGUAAAAUAAAUAUAUUGUUUUCUUUCCAAUCGUCUGUGGGCCAUUUCAAAAUAGCGACAACAGCCCCAAAUCUCAAAGAACAUGUGUCUUUCAUUAAGAAGAGUUUUAAUCCUUUUUCUAGCACAAAAUAGCAUCUCCAAAUACACGGCCGUCCAAGGCCACUCACCUCGGUCGGUGCUUCUGCAGAAAAGUCACACAGCCACAGAGAAUAUAUAGAUUGAACAGCGUUUUAUCCCCAGAUGGCAGAAAUUCUCUCAAUAAAAUCUAACAUCACCAAGGAGACGGACUGUGAGGGAAUCUCCACUGACAAAUAGAGAUUGAUUUAUCAUGAAUAAUGAAUCCCAUAAAUUAUUCGACAGCCAGCAUGAUGACUAACAUGUGUUCUGAACGACCUUCGUGUUGAGGCUCAUUGUAAGGUUCCAAUUUUAUGUGAGAGAAAGCCGGAAAUAACCAGUGAGGUUUAUGAAUGAUUUAAAGGGACUGUGCGACUUAAAUGUUCACUUCUCAGUUUGGAUACAUUAAAAUGUGAUAGUGAUAUUGAUAUUGUUCGCCAACUUGACAGUAAAUUCAGGUGGGAUUGCUAAGAUACGUAUUUGUCCUUUUCCUUUAACUCUUUAAAUUAGGGUCCUGAAGGGCAGGUGUCACCUUGCACGGUAACAAUCAGUGAAUAAUUUAUAUUCAAUUCAUUUUAUUUUGUAUAUCUCAAAAUUGCAAAUUACAAUUUGCCUUUGAGGGCUUUAUAGUCUGUAUGCAUCUUCUAUCCCAAAACCCUCACAUUGGAACAGGAAAAACACCCCACAAGAGGUGCACGGGGGUGCAAGAUCCGUAUGGCGGGCAUAGCUGCGUGAGGGCGGAGGGCACCCGCACAACUUCCUUCAUCGAAUCCCUCAUAGAAGAACUAUUCUUUUCUUUCUCCGCAGUUUUACCGGGGAGUGCACAGGGCGGCCAACCGGUCGGCACGCCUUGUCCCUUCAUAGCCCGUAUUCAUCACUUCCGGACAAAGCAGCGCAUGAUGAAGCUGGUACGAGAAAAAGGUCUCCUGGCCUACAGGGGCUCGGAAAUUCAUACUUACUUGGCUAGAAAGAGAGCUUCUUUUUCCCGUCAAAACCGCACUGAGGAAAGCAGGGUAUCAAGUGAGCCUGGUCUUCCCGGCCAGAUUUCGAGUGAUCUUUGAUGCAACCAUGCACAAAACGGGAGUCAAUAGCUUUUCUUGGCUCGACUGAGGUUGGGGUAACCCGGUGAGUGAAUUUGUUUGGCUGGCUAAGGAAACACAUCAAUAGCAAACUCUAUGACCAGUUGAUUACUAACUCAUAUACACCCAACCCAACCAACCUUAAUAACCGAGAGUUUUAAGUGCAUAAUUGCCUCACUGUCUUUCAUCGUUUACUCCUUCACUACUUGACAGGAGAAAAAACUCCCCAAAAACCAUCCAUGAAUUACGGCAAUUAGCAUCCGUCCCCAGGUUUUAACAUUACAUGGAAGGAUGUUAAUGUGUACAGUUAAUUGUGUUGGAUUCAUAUUGCAAUUAUUUCAAUCUAACAUGCUAAUGUAAUAACUCAUCUAAUAACACAAAAACUACGAUUGUAACACUAAACAUUACUGCAUGUAAUAUUGUUUCUAGGUGUGCUCUUCUGCUAAAAUCCCUAACACUACCUGCCAAUAAGGAGCUUUGUACAAAGCACUUUUGAUUAAUUUCGAAACAAACCCAUGGAAUCACGUUGACAGCCUCCUAGAACAGUAGAGGUGUGAUAUCCCAAACUUAGCUCAUUGACAAUAUUUACCCACACUCUUGGAACAUUUAAGAAUGUUGGAGACUGAGAUCUUGGAGUGGUUAUAACAAAUGACCAAUGGGACUCUAUUCUAGACUUGAUAUAUACAUCAUCUAAAUUCACUACAACGUAAUACAAGUAAAAGUGGUAUAGUGCUAGAUUUGGCAAUGAGGUUUUAUCUUUUAUUUAUCUGUUAUUGCCCUCAGACACGUGUGAAUCCUCUUCCCUGCUGGGAUAAAAACUGAAAAUCAAUAAAACAUAUUUACAAAAAAAUCAUAGUAAAGUCACAUCCUUGAACAUCCUCUGUCCCAGUUUCCAGGUCAGAGGAUAUUGGGGGUUUUCAAUGACAUCAGAUGUCAAACAUUACACAAGCUCAAAAUGUUCAACCAUCAAUAAGUCUAGACGAGAUUAAUGCAUGUACUGCUGUGGUGGAAUAACAAAGGCUUUUGGGAAGUCGCAUGCCACCGGACCCAGUGACCUACCAUUGGUAGGUUUUUGAUCCUUGUGUGACUGACACUGCUGGUAAGACUCUAAGCUAAACGAAAGUUAUGUUGUCCUACGGCAGAGUUCACUAACUGGCGGACCGCAGUCCGGACCCAGAAGCCGUCCCAUCCGGACCAAAAGCUAAAAAAAGGCCGUUUUAAACGUGACAGCGCACUUUCGACCGGCGCAUCUUUGGUCGUCUUUGCAAUAGUGGCUUAAAGCACCAAUUGUAUUCGAGUUAAACCAUCCCGCGUGAUACUACUCGACAAAUCAAGUCUUUGUAUUCCAGGAAGGCUGAUGAUAUCGUCUAUCUUCAAUACUGCAGACAGACGAGAAAGGUAGCGGACAAUGACAAAUAAAAAGAAGGUAAGAAGAAAAGAAAGAUAGAAACAUUUUAGAAAAAGACGAGUGGGACAGAGAAAGCGAGAGAAAGACGGUUGCGACAAAUGAGGAACAAAUGGCGGUCUGCUAAAAGAGACAAGUGGACAGCAAAAGUAGAGCAUUUAAUCCUCAAUGGACGGACUGGUUUUUGUUCAUACUUCCCACUGCAGCACAAAACCAGCGUCUCAUGUACUCAGAACCCCUUGAAACGCCAUCAUGAGGCUCAAUGAGCUCCUCUACGUGAGGAGGAGAACCUGAUGCAUUAAGACCAGGUUCAACAUCCUGGCAGGAAAAACUAGAUCUUACCAAAAAAGUGGGGGAGUGGAUAUACAUAUUCUAUUAAACUGCUCAAUUGUUAAAAUGAGUUUAGAUUCAUAAUUCAUAAUGAGACUGUCGUGAAAAAGGGAAAAUUCAAGCUUUUCUUCGGGUUAUUUUUUUUUUUAUGAAUUGAAACACAUUUCAACAUGCAGAAAUUUUCACUUUUAAAUGCAGCCCUACCUUUAUCAGAGCUGCCAACUUUUUGUGAGAUUUUGUGGGGGGGGCCAACAUUUUGCUGUGUGUGGCUGCCACCAACCGGUGGCUCAAAUAUCAGGGAAUAGUUUGGCAUUGUACCCAUGUGGUGGCCUGGAAUCUGGUGGUUCGUGGGGCUCAAAGUCGUUGACAGUGGCAGCACUGGGCAACAUUGGUUACAUUCUGUAAUGUAGCAAAGACAUGAAGGUCCAUCCCCAGGGCAGUUUGGUUUAGGUAGAUUUCCUGCAUUCUACUGGAUUUCUGGGUGGUAUGCUAAAUGUCAAUGUCAAUUUUAUUUAUAUAGCACUUUUAAAGGCCAGUGGCCAGCCAAAGUGCUUUACAGGAUAAAAAUAAUCAGCGUCAAGAAAACAAUACAAGCAAACUUAAAACAAACAAACAAGCAACAAACAAGCAAAAAACAGUAAAACAGUAAAAGGCAAACAAAUAAAAGAUCCAAUGCAGGUGACUUAACUCAGCCAAAGGCCAAUGUGAACAAGCAAGACUUAAGGCGUGUUUUAAAAGUAGAAAGGCUCGUCGCAGACCGCAGAGAAAAUGGCAAAGCAUUCCACAGUCUGGGAGCCGCUACUGCGAAGGCUCGAUCCCCUUUCGUUUUUAGGAACGACCGAGGAACGUUCAGAACCAGCUGGUCAGCUGACCUUAGGGCUCUGGAGGGUUGAUGCACAUUAAAAGGCUGGAUAAAUAUUCUGGGACCAGUCCAUGCAGAGACUUAAAAAUAAAUAAAAGACUCUUAAAAUCAAUUCUGAACCUAACCGGAAGCCAGUGGAGAGAGGAAUGCUAAAGAUGUGCAAUACCUGGACUUAUUCAGAUUCCUGCUCAUCUGAUCAUGACUUGUAGGGCCUUCUAGAAUUGAGCUGAACAUUCAACCAGAAAUGUAUUUCAAUCACUGUCUAUGUGCCACAAUUAAGCCUAAUUAAUAGACCUGUGUUUGAGAUUUAACCAAGGUAGGUUGAUUGACAUCUUGAGUACAAUAAACCUAACCUAUAUUGUUAAUUAUAUUAACAGAUUAUAUUAAUGAUAAUAAUUGUAUUCUUAAGAGCACUUAAUGAUUUAUAUUCAGCAAAAAAUGACAAGAUUAGUUUGGGAGAAAUAUUUGUCAUUAUUCAAAGCCUCCCACACACGUUCCAUCCAACGAAUCAGAAAAGGUGCAACAAAUAAAGUGCUUAAAGUGCUUCAACAGUAGCCUUUUAAGCAAUAAAAUACACUGACAUAUGUAACCCUUUGAUAAUCAAUAAAAUGUGAAAUGAAUUGCCAAUCGCUUGCUAGCUGUCACACCAUAAAUAUCCGGGUCGGGGAAAGGUCACUUCCUGUUAUGGAUUACGGUCCCACUCGGCGAUGACAGCUAGGUCAACACGCAGAAUUCCUCGUUCAGCAGUCAGGUUUUUGAACCAGGACACGAGUGGUACCUGAAGGCUUACGGAUUACCAUUUGGAGCUACCAAACGGACCAACCUUCCAGUACUGUGGAGACGUGGUAGGACAAGGACACUAAAACCAUUUCCAUGGACCUCAAAGUGGAUUAUAUACUUUUUUCCAUAUUUUUCUUUCCUCAUGUGAUUAACCGGAUAGACUUGAGACUAACUGAAUUUCUUUAUUUAUGAAUACAGUCUAUAAAUGCACCGCAGUGACAGCUGGACUGACUCGUCAUUUUUUUUUUCCCACACACAUUUGGCUCCGUAGGCGAAUUUGAGAUCUUUGGGUUGAAGUGCGAAUUUGGUUAAACUCAUCAAGCGAUGGUUACACAUACGCUCCUCUUUCUCAAACCCACCUCCUACUUCUUGCGUCCCACUGACUUCACCUCCAUCGCCCUCACUUUCCUCUUUCACCCCCCUGUCUCCUAACCAAAUUCUUACCCUGGUAACCUCUGCCCGUCCGACCACCUGCCCUCUUGACCCCAUUCCAUCACAUCUUCUACAAUCUAUCGCACCUGACCUUCUUCCUUUCCUCACCUGUCUCAUCAACAAUGCUCUGUUAUCCUGCUGUUUUCCCAAUUAUCUGAAGGAGGCAAGAGUCAACCCACUCCUGAAGAAACCUACCCUCAACCCUUCUGAAGAAAACAACUACAGACCGGUCUCUCUUCUUCCCUUUUUGUCCAAAACCCUUGAACGUGCGACCUUUAACCAACUCUCCUCCUAUCUCCACCAUAGCAUCCUCCUCGACCCCCACCAAUCAGGCUUCAAGGCCAUUCCACAGAGACUGCUCUCCUUGCUGUCUCAGAGCAACUCCACACUGCUAGAACCGCCUCUCUCUCCUCUGUCCUCAUCCUUCUGGACCUCUCUGCUGCAUUUGACACAGUCAACCACCAGAUCCUUAUUUUCUCCCUUCAGGAACUUGGUGUCUCAGGCACUGCUCUCUCCCUUCUCUCGUCCUACCUCGACGGCCGCACCGACCGUGGGUAACCUGGCGAGGAUCUGUGUCGGAACCUUGUCCUCUUACUGCUGGAGUUCCUCAGGGUUCCGUCCUGGGUCCCCUCCUCUUCUCGCUCUACACCAACUAUCUCGGCGCUGUCAUUUGCUCGCAUGGCUUCUCUUACCACAGCUAUGCCGAUGACACCCAACUUAUUCUCUCCAUCCCUCACUCGGAUACCCAGGUGGCGGCUCGGAUCUCUGCCUGUCUAACUGACAUCUCUCAGUGGAUGUCCGCCCACCAUCUGAAAAUCAACCCCGACAAGACUGAACUACUUCUCUUUCCGGGAAAAGAUUCUCCGACCCAGGACCUGACGGUCAAGUUUGGCAACUCCGUGGUAACGCCCACUUUAACUGCUAAGAACCUCGGCGUCACACUCGACAGCCAACUCUCCCUGACUCCCAACAUCACUGCGACAACACAAUCCUGUAAAUACACGCUCUACAACAUCAGGAGAAUACGUUCUCUUCUCACUCAGAAGGCAGCCCAGGUACUGAUUCAGGGUCUUGUCAUCUCCCUCCUGGACUACUGUAACUCUCUCCUGCAAGUCUCCCUGUUACCGCCAUCAGACCUCUGCAGCUCAUCCAGAAUACAGCAGCUCGACUGGUCUUUAACCUUCCGAAAUUCUCCCACACUACUCCACUCCUCCGCUCUCUUCACUGGCUACCGGUGGCUGCCCGCAUCCCGUUCAAAACAUUGGUGCUCACGUACCAUGUGAAUGGAUCAGGUCCAGCUUACAUCCAGGACAUGGUCCAACCCGACAUCCCGACCCGCACUCUCCGCUCUGCAUCUGAUAAACUGCUUGUUCCUCCUCACUGAGAGCAAAAACACUCGACUAGAUCACGAGGUGAAAACACCUCUUCAGACUCCACCUCGACUAAAAGACUAACAAACUGUAGCACUUAAAUUGUACUUGUAACGUCACUCAUCUAUAGCAAAUUGUAAAUUGGCUUAUUUUUUCUUCUGAGUUUGUACCCUUAUGGUUGAAUGCACUUAUUGUAAGUCGCUUUGAAUAAAAGCGUUAGUAAUAUAAUGUAAUGUAACAAUAGAUCAACACAUGACAAAAGAGAUCAGAUGCAGAUCAGAAGGUGGUUAGUCAUUUUCUAAGAUCUGUGGGCAUCAUAUAUAUUAAAUACUAUGACGUUAAUCGCAAAUUAUGUCAUGUUUUGUGAUGUUAGUACAUUUAACUGCACAAGGACCACUACACUGAUUGUCUUGUUACUCAAACAUCAAGAGGCCAACAAACGGCAGGUGUGUGUGUGGAAUGUAACACUAUCCAUUAAAAUAUGAACUGUUUAACUGUUGUUACCGCAAACAACCUCCUCUUACUCUCUGAAACCAUUAUAACGCUUAUGCUGUGUGAUGUAAUAAAACAGCCCUGAAUUAAAUGUUCUCCUCAGUAACGUUUACAUGUUUUUGUCACGCCCUAAUUGUGUUCACCUGUUUUUCCCCUGUCUCCCCCACACCAGGUGUUCCCUGUUUGUCAAUUAUCCCUUGGGCAUAUAACCUGUGUCUUCUCCCUGUUCUUGUUGCCCGCCUCUAACAACGACGCUGCCUGCCACUUCUGAACCCCUGAUCUCCCGUGUACCGAACUCCUGCCUGCCUCCGACAACGACACUGCCUGCCCGAAUUCCUCUUCAUUAAAAGACAUUUAAUAUUCCUCACAUCUGCGUUUGGGUCUCUGUCUGAGUUGUGACAGUACGAACUGGCCAUGACAGACCCUGCAGAACCUGACUCCCUCCGGAAUGCCGUCGCUCUUCAGGGAGCUGCUAUAGGAAGGCACGAAGACAUCCUACAACGGGUCAUGGAGGGACUUCAAAGUCUCUCUGACCACCACGAUCGGACCUAUCAAUCCCUGAUGGAGCGGUUUCGUGGGAUGUCUAUGGCACAGCCAACUACAGCGGGCCCUGCCCCAGACCAAGGUGGCCUCGCAGCUAGUGCGGCCUUGCCGGUAACCAACACGGCCCCUCGGGAAACCAACUUACCUCCUCCUGAGCGCUAUUCUGGAGAACCAAGAACCUGUCGUUCGUUCCUCUCCAAGUGUUCCCUGAUCUUCGAUCCUCGUUUCAAUCAGAGCGUUCCAAGGUAGCGUACAUCGUUUCACUUAUGUCCGGGAGGGCAGGAACUUGGGCUACGGCAGUGUGGGAACAGCAAACACCCAUCUGCUCCAGUCUGGCUGCCUUUGUGGCCGAAAUAAAAAAGGUUUUUGAGUCACCGGUGUCGGGGAGGGAAGCAGCCCGUAAACUCCUGCGACUCCGGCAGGGCUCUCACUGCGUGUCAGACUACGCGGUGGACUUCUGCACUCUGGCUGCAGAUAGUUUGUGGAAUUCAGAUUCUCUCUUCGAUGCUUUUCUUCAUGGGCUGUCCGACAUUAUCUAGGAUGAGCUAGCAGCACAAGAGCUGCCCCCUGAUCUUGGCUCAGGGGGCAGCUCUUGUGCUGAGGGGGGCCUGCAGAGGGGGGCCUGAAGAACAGGCAGCAAUGUCAGAGUACAUACUACAACAGAUCAGCUAGAGACUUGGACACACUUGCCACGGGUGACUGUGUGAGGAUACAACCACUCCCACCCCACGCUGUCUGGAGACUAGGCAGGGUGCUGAAGCCAGUUGAUGGGAGGUCCUAUGAGGUUCAGUUGCAAUCUGGAAGUGUCAUUAGGAGAAAUCGCAGACACCUCAAGCGUGCACCUGGUGUGACCUUUAGUGACCCUCUCGAUAUGGAGAUCAGCAUCCCCAGUCAGCCACAGGCUGUGAGAUAUGAACCUGCAGAGUCUGUUCCUGUCCCUCACGGUGUCGCAGCAGAACAUACACUGGUGGCGGAGACACCCCUGUCACGACCAGAGCCGGGCGCACAGUGGUGUGGCCACAGCGGCACGUGAAAAGUGUACAAGCGCAAAAGUUAUGGUUUAUUUGAUAUUGUUGUGAUCAUUUGCACAUUUCAUGUUAUUAGUGAAUGGUUGAGUGUUAUCUCACUGUGAAAUUGGUGAUGCUGUGUUUUCAGUUUGUUAUAGACUAUUUUCAUCAGUUGCUGAGAGAAGAUUUUGAUUGAUAGCAUAUUGAAUUGUUUAUGAUUUAGCAAUAAGCAGUGUCAGUAUUAUAAUCUUGCUUGUUGGCCACAGUCAAAUCUUGAGAUAACAGCUCUAACUCUCAAAAGAGAAAGGAUGUAACAAUAGGAACUCAACAGUCAUAUAAUGACUGUUGCCUGCUAUGCGGUUAUCAAUGAAUGCUAAAGUGCAUUUGUCAAAGGAUUAUUUGGUAUCUGGCUACAUUGCCUUUGUUAUUUCCCUUUUUAGUUUUCACGGUGUUGGUGCUAUGCACACUCGUCUGAAUUAAAGUAAACCCGUCUGGAAACACUCCCAAGCCUGUUUAUUCCAAGUUGAAGGGAUGCUACACAUGCCUUCUCCAUGGUGGGGAAAAUACAUUUGCCACCAGGAAGGUCCUCACAACGUUAAACUGGCCUUUUCUUGCAUUGUCCCAAAAAAUGAAAAAUCCUUCCAUGGGGAAAAAAGCGAAGAAACCAUAGGGAGAACAUCAGAGGAGGAUCCCAGGUGUACGGCCGGACCACUGCAGCGCCACCAUCACAUAGAACCGGCAUCCACAGAAGCCUGUGGGGAGGGAAAACAAAGACUUUAGUAAAUACUCAAAGUUAGCGAUGCGGAUUAAUGUUUACAGCAAUAGAAAUGGGAAUAUCAAUGGUGUUUGAAGCGGUAGGUGUCCGCGGGGCCAGGCAGGUGUCAGGACCAGGGUCCAGAUGGAUCUACGAUCUACGGAAACCUGCGGGACGAAAAAGCACAACAAACUCCGGGAAAGAAGCUGAAUUAGUGAAUUGCAUUAAUAAAACAUGGAUUAUUGUAGAAGGAGAGAAUGAGAGAGGAGCUCGGUGUGUCCUAAAAGUCCCUCGGCAGUCUAAGCCUAUAGCAGCUUAACUAAGGGCUAACCUGAGCCAGCCCUAACUAUAAGCAAUAUCAAAGAGGAAAGUUUUAAGCUUUAGCUGACCGAAUCUGCCCCCUGACUGAAAGUGGAUGCUGGUUCCACAAAAGAGGAGCUUGAUAACUGAAGACUCUGGCUCCCGUCCUACUUUUUAAAACCACAGGAACAACAAGUAACCCAGCAUCUAUGGAGUGCGGCUGCCUUGUACGGCAAUACUGUGUUACAAGCUCUUUGAGAUAAGAUGGUGCCUGUUAAGGGUUCGUUGGGCCCUCGAUGGAGGCCUCACUCCUUUGUUCUCGUCCCGGCCGGAAACGAUGAAUCAAAAGAGUCAACUUGCUCAAAUUUAAAAAUCAAAAAGUAUUUAAUAACUAAACAAAGUGAUAAGGCACACAGUUACAAAGUGAAAUACAACGCGAACAGUGAAAUAUUUCGCGAAAUAGAGAAUUCUCGGACCAAGUCUAAAGUGACUUAUCAAAGCGGCUGGAUGGUUCCCCGUUUCCCCCUCCUGAGGUGCCGGAUGGUCUUCCAGAAGCACUUUGGUGCCGACCGAAAGUCCUUCUCCAUAGUCCCCCGAACUCCUCCCAUUCUCGCUGCUUUGCCUCCAUCGCGGCAGAGGCUGCUGCCCUUCGAGCCUGUCGGUACACUGCAACUGCCUCCGGAGUCCCACCGGAUAUCAUAACCCGGAAGGCCUCCUUUUUCAGUCGGACGGCUUCCCUGACCACCGGUGUCCACCAUGGGGUUCGAGGAUUACCGCCCCUUGAUGCACCUAAGACCUUGAGGCCACAACUCACUGCUGCGGCUUCAGCAAUGGAGGUUUUGAAUAUACACCACUCUGGUUCAAUGUCCCCUACCUCCACAGGAAUGUGAGAGAAGUUCCGCCGGAGGUGUGAGUUGAAAAUCUUUUGGACCGGGGCCUCCUCCAGACGUUCCCAGUUCACCCUUACUACAUGCUUGGGUUUACCGGUCUGUCCCGAGUCUACUAGCAGUCUAGAUAACCUAAAAACAGCAGAUACAAUAGUAAUUUAGCAGUAAUCCAAGUCCCCAAGUCCAAAUGCACUUUUUUUGGACAUACUGUACUUUAAGACCGCAGCACUGCAGCAUUAUAUCUGCUUCUACCGUCUCCUCUAGAUGGAGACCGACAAGCUGCCAGCUGCUGUCUGCAGGCCGACGAGGCGGAUGAAUGAGGCCUGUGGUGAGCUGGUUGUUAGCGGAGGACAAGGCUGUAGGAUAAACUAUCUGACAGCUUGUCUCCUCUCUCCACGCUGAGACGUCAGCCUCCAUCUGCUGCCUGUCAGCCUGACGGAUGCUGCUGUCCACACAAAGUGAUUAGAUAAUGUGGAAAAACGCAAAUUUACAAGAAAAAACAGUGAAUAUGACUUUUAGACAGUAUGAAACAUUGACUGGUUUUAAGCUACAUUUGGUUAAUGCAGGCUCAAGUUUUAGACAGUUAGAAGUUGAGGAUUUAUUUCUUCAAUUAUUAAUAUAUGACAUGACAACUUAGAAAGAAGUCAUAUGUUUUCCAAAUAAGGGAAAUGAAGCGUCAUAUAGUACAUCCACAGAGUUCCGACAUUACGUCGAAGUUCUACAAAUCAAAUGAAGAAACAGAUCAAAGAUCCACACCCUCAAAAAAAAGACAGUGUACACUUCACACCAUUAAUCAACACCCUUUUCAACAUAUAGGAUGGUCCAUUUACCUUGAAAAAGGGCCUCACAAUGCUUCAGGUAGAGUUGAAAUAUCACUACUUCUGUACAUAACUUUGUAGUGUAAAAUAAUACAUUGGCUAUUGUGAGAAGAGUUUUUAAGUAUGAAGAUGUGUAAACGUUGCUUUUCUUCAAUGACAUUCAGAAUUGCAAGUCAUCUUAAAUAAUGAAUUGUAUCAAACUCCCCAAAAGCAACUACUGAAGCAAUGAGGACAGCUUUGAUGAAGAAGGGAGAGCGCUAGUGAGUCACAAUGAAUAAGUGACGUUGGAGGGAUUGUUUGUCUGUUUGGGAGGUGGAACUCAAGACAGUUAUCUUCUACCUUUCUGUCAAACACGAUGGCAAGAGCUUUGAUUGAACAGAAGACCAAGGCAAGACUCGACAGAAAAAGAAGAGACUUUGUGAACGUGGCUGAAACAGAAGACCUUGAAAUUAGCAGUCGGGGAAUCACAACUCGGCCAGUGUUGCUGCAGGUGGGUUAACAUCGGAGGCAAUGGACCCUUCGACGAGCCCUGUCCCCCACUGCUACUCCGUCAAGCUGUCAGAGCUACAAGGGAGCAACACUGUGCCUAACUGCACCCUUCAAUAUUGGUUUACAUCCAGAAUGGAACCAAAAACUGGUUCAAAAGAUUGUGGAUAAAACCACAGUUCAGGAUGAGGCUGUCUGUCUAAACCAAAAUAAAUGCCUUUCACAGUAGACGUGACUGCGUGUUUUAGGUGUUAGUGAAUGUUUUGGGUUCGUGGAGGUUCAUUAGAAUGUGUGUAUGCUUUGGUAUGUAAACUGUUACGGCUGCCGUUGGCAACCUCAUGUGGGUAAUUAAAGAUAUGCAAAACAGGCUGUGACAUCCCCCACUCAUGAUUGGAAGAACAAGAGAAGACCCGCCCAGAAGUCCCGGCCAAUUGGAGGAUAGCCAUUGCCGGUCCCGCCAGUUCAAAUGGCGAUCAAAGCUGAGGGUGGCUGUCAGACCAGAUUGUGGAAGAGCAGGUUGGAGGGUGAGAAAGGGGCCCAGGAAUAAGAGUCAGAAAUACUGAUACCACCUGUUGCACUUAACAUAAUUUUGUUGUCUAGUCCCAUUAGGUCCAGGGGUGCUGUGAGUAUUAUACCUUCGGUUAUUAAAUAAUUAAGUUAGUGAGGACCUUUUUGUUUAACCUUUUGUUUUCUUAGAUAGACAAGGAUAAUCUUCCUUUUGAGGAUCUCUUUUGGUUGUAUUCUGUGUUUGAGUUCCACAGCACCCGUUGGCCCCAUUCUCUCUUUGUAAGAACUUUUGGAAUCUGUAAAAGUUUUGGUAUGGAUAUUUUUGGUUUAUUCAAAAAUUGUACUGUUUUUUUAUGGGAUAUGAACACUUUUCUGUGCCGUAUUUCUGCUGCAACAGCUUGCGAGCAGAGAAAAGAAGCCACUCGUCAAGAUAUAGCUCCAGCACAUAACUCCCCCCCUCCCCCCUAUGCCAAAAAAACAUGUCUUGCAUUUGGGUUAUUGUAUUAAUUAAGCAAACAAAACAGUUGCUGGAUAAGAUUUGGAGGAAAAGUGAAAAAUGUACAGUAGGAUUAAAUAAGAUCAUACUGAAAAUGUUCAGAAUGAUCUUAUACAACAGCAAAGGUUAGAGUGCAAACAGACAUAGUUAAACAAGAUCAAAACAGUUAUAAAUAAAAGUAAUAAACAAUAGCUGAAAUGAAAUGUACAGAAUUGUUCAAUAAUACAGCCAUUUAUCAUACAUACAGAAAUAAUUGAUUUGUGGUCUACUGUAGUGUAGCAGCUUGAUGGUGACUUUUCUUCACACACUGUAAUAUUAAAAUUUAGUUCUGGCAAUUAGCUCUAAAUCCUUAGAAUUGACUGGAUUCUUACAAUAAAGUGAACUGUGAAUGAAGUCCAUAUUCAGAUUAAUUUUUCACUCCGAUGCACAUCCGUAGUAUUUAGAGGUGGUGAUUUGGACACGAUAACCCUUCCUCAAUGUUUCCACUCCAGGCCAACCAGGCUGACCACAUGCUGACUUCAGCUUUGUAAGGAAUGCCUUCAAAUGAGAUUGAUAUUGACUCACUAAUGGGGGCAACCAUUUUUAAAAGUGGUCCGGUAUUGAGGGAGUACGCUACAAACGGCAGCCUCUAAAUGAGCUUGAAUGUAAUCAUAUCGGGCAAUUACACCCGUCUGCGUAUCUCCACUAGAAGUGAUCUCUAGAUUCUGCCUUUCACAUCCUCUCAAGCUUUGUUCUCAACCGUGACAACAAAUGCUCCACCUGCUGCUUCACAUUGACUUACAUGUAACAUGUGACUUUCUUACUUCAGUGGAACCUUUUGGCCACAGUGAACCCACUGGGUGUUGGAUGGCUCUGUCUCUGCCUCAGACCACUGUGACCUGGGUGCAGGUCUGGAGAGGACCUUUCUAGUUUCUUUUUCUUAUCUAGGAUGUGAUUUAAAUGUAGGCACUGCUCCUGUCUGGUGACCUCCUUUCUUACCAGUGCACGGCCAUUCUGGGUCAACAGUCCUCUCUGGCAACUGGGCUGAAACAAACUGAUCAAAUCAUCUCAAAACAAUUACAAAAUUGUAUCAUGCUGAACUGAAAAGAUCCAAUCAUAAAGAUAAUGUAAGUGAUAUUUGAACGGAAAGAAAGUGGCGGCAUAUAGAAAACUAAGGAAAACAGAAACAUUACAUGUCAUUCAGCUGACGCUGAAUGCAUUUCUAACUCGUCCCACACAGUGGGAGUAGUGUCGCAGCCGUCGGGGGCAGUUAGUGGUUGAGCAUCUUGCUCAGGGACACUUGGACAUGGGACAUGGAGCAGUCGGGGUUUGAACCAACCUUGCGGUUCACGGUGGACCCAGAAACCCCUCAGACAGAAUCUCACUUCUUACUCUACUGUGGGACAAAUGAGGACAUAAUAGAAGUUGUCCAUCUCCACGACACCCAGAAACAGCCGUAUUUAGGGGUGGAGAAAAAUCGAUGUCCAAUAUAAGUUGUGAAAUAUGUUUAGUGUAGUGAUACAUUCACAGGUGCUACAGGCGCUACAGAAAUGUCGCUGAUUGAUUACAUCUGUGAAAGAAUAAAAAGCCAAUUUGUUACCCAGUUGUUGGGUUCUUGUGUAAAAAAAUAUGUCAUUUAGCUUUGGCAAGAAAUAUAACAUCAUUGCCAACAACCCUUAUUUUAAUUUGAACUUUUACGAAUCAAUGAAAAGAUUAACAGGAAUUAUCUGUAGCGUUUGCUUCAAUGCCGAGAAAUUA